rnacentral:sRNA from 1 species
UCCGGCGCUUGUAGGGGUGGUUCCCGUCAUCUUCGGGAGCCGUGGAGGUACGAACUUAAGACAUGCCUAUUUUAUUAAUUUACUUCCAAACGCAACGAAAGGUCCAUGGACAAUUUGUGGGCCAUUUAAUUCAGGGCCCCCAAUUCGUACGUGGAGAAGUGGGAAUGCUAACGUACUUUGACCUUUAACCUUCGGUCCGGCGCGGUGGAGGGAAACGCCUCCGUCUCUAUAUAAGGAAUUUUCCGGUCUCUUCGGGCCCUUUUUCCUCUCUUCAGCGUGGGGCGCCCACAACUUGCGCGCUCUCUUUCUGCUGCUCCCCAGCUCUCGGAUACAGCCGACACCAUGGGUUUCGGAGACCUGAAAAGCCCUGCCGGCCUCCAGGUGCUCAACGAUUACCUGGCGGACAAGAGCUACAUCGAGGGGUAUGUGCCAUCACAAGCAGAUGUGGCAGUAUUUGAAGCCGUGUCCAGCCCACCGCCUGCCGACUUGUGUCAUGCCCUACGUUGGUAUAAUCACAUCAAGUCUUACGAAAAGGAAAAGGCCAGGUAAAAUCAUCUUUGUAUAGAGCUGAAGAAUAAGACUGCUCUCGAAGUUUAUCAGGAUGUUCACAUGACAAAACUGGACCCAGGCUACUUUAGUUUUGUUGGGAUAUUGUAAGCUAAAUUUUUCUGUAACCUUAGAAGGCCAAGAGACUGAAGCCCUCCAUUUUUUCACAGAACAGGUAGAACAUGGACAGCAGCAAUUCAACUUUUCCCCACACUGCCCUGCCAAUGUGCCUCGACCUUGACCUGGGGGGCCCACCUCUGGGGUGAGAGGGUGGCUCAUUCAUUCAGUCCUUGGCCAUUCUUCUGAAACUGCCAACAAGGGUGGAAGUUUGGGGAAGUGGACUCCAGUUCACUAAGAAUGGAACUGAGCAUACUUAAUGAAAUCUCAAACAGAAAUGUUCAUACUGAAAGAGUAAAUCAUAGUGAGUAUUGAAAAUAAUGUCUCACAUGGUACUAAUGCUUGUCGGGUGAGGAGUUGAA